GGGCGCUUGGCUCAGCUGGUCAGAGCGCCUGGUUUACACCCAGGAUGUCGGGGGUUCAAAUCCCUCAGCGCCCACCA
rnacentral:tRNA from 1 species